CAGAUUUCCCGGGAGCCUAGCAUAGUGACAAUCAUCGAUAGAUAAUGCCAAUGAUGUGCAAUGGAAACUUAAAUAGUUUAUGUAAUACUUACGUGAUUUUUCUUAUACAUUUUUUUUCGAUCGGCGUUUGUCAUUGUACGAUUGUCAACUUAUCUAGACCCCCUGUAAUUACGUCACUUAAAAGAUAUGUUAACCGGGUAUCGCGAAUUUAUUUCGUUAUCUUUAUUUUCCACGUAUCGACGCAGGUUUCACUGGUCGUGGUCGCGGAUACCAGCAAAAUAUCAAAACAGAUAGUCUAUAAAAAUUGGCCCACGAUAGACCCCGUUUAAUUACGUUUUCACAAGUGUUCAAAAUUAAAAGUUUUAAACAUGUCACUAUAUUCCAGUCAUAUUCACCACAACUUAACGAGGAAUCAACAAGCAUUUUCGUGCUUUUAUCUUAACUAUGGAUAAAGAGAAUAUUAAUAUAAAUAAUAAACAUAUCUAUAUAAUCAUCCAUUUGAAGAGACAACAACAACACAAACAUCGACAAGACAUCGACUAUGACUGAGAUGACAUGUAUAUAUACCUAUAUGAAAACAUAGAUUUUAAAUUGGGAAUAGUUAACUAUUUUUGGUACUUAACAGAACAAAUAAAUAUUUUUGGAGUUAAUGUUUGCAUUUUUAAGAGCAAUAAAUUUUCAUGGAUUCCUAAGAUGUUUUUAUUUAAUAUUUUUCUUUAUAUAAACUUACUUUAAUGAUAAAGCCAUCCAUUGAUUAAAAUCCGUAUUCAUAACUCGCCUCAAUACGCUGUAGCCAAUAGCAAAAAUCCUGAUACUCGCCAAGUCCAGUACAAUCUUGAUGAAAGACCAGAAAUUCCGGCAUGUCAGGGGAAAUCCUGACGUAUGGCAAGCCGAGAUACUCAUUGAUUCGUACUGGUCGCACCAACGCUACGCAUUUUUCAGGUUUGGGAGCCGCACGCCUUAUUUUGGCUAACAGUAAAAUUAUGGACUUGAACAUUUUCAUCUUCAUAACGAAAUUAUCAUAUGUACUACUUAUUUACUUCAUAGGUUUAAUUGUCAUCAUCAUCAUCAUAAUGUUUAGCCUGCAGUCGCCCACAGCUGAGCAUAGGCCUCUCUUCCUGUACGCCACUUAUCCCGGUCCUGGGCGAGUCGCAUCCAGAAGUGUCCCGCGAUUUUACGAAUGUCAUCCACCCAACGAGCCAACGGACGCCAGGUGCUUCUUUCAUCCAACGCCCUGAAGAAAUAAUGGGUCAUGUGUUUCAACGAGGCGACAAGAAAAGGCGCUGCGUUGGGUGUUAUACCAGAUUAAGACUUAUAAUGAGUGGUACAGAAGCAUCCAAAAGAACCAAAAGAAUUAUGACAUUUUGUACGGAAUGUGAUAGAUCAAUGUGUCUGCAAUGUUUCAAUGAAAAACACUUUCCUUCUCGUUUUCGAUAAAUGUCCCUUUCUUCUAAAUUAAAUGAAUGUUAUAAUUAAAGUAAUUUGAAAAGUCAGCUUGUUUGUUUUCAUUCCGUCACUAGUUGUUAAAAUAUGUAAUAAAUAAAAUAUAUAUUAUAGGACAUUUUACACAAUUUGACUAAGUCCCACGGUAAGCUCAAUAAGGCUUAUAUUGUGGGUAAGAUUCGAUGGAGGUGUUCGAUGGAACUAUAUUGGUCGCUACGCUUGCGUAGUCAAUAUUGGGGAAGAUAUCGUCUACAAAAAUGUAAAGCAUAAUCACCCUCCUUGAUUUCAAUAAGAUAAAGAAACCAGUAAGGUGGUAUUUUCAGUCUCAGUAUUGAUAACUGGCAUAUGAUGUGAGCUUAAGAAUCUUAUAAUACGAUGUAGUUAAGUUGUUCUUAAAUUCAUCUUAAUGAUGGAAUGGACGGGUUCGGGGUACAGUCAGCAUCAAAAGUAGCGGAUGAAACAACGCACCAACGCAACGCAUGUAAAUAAAUAUUUUAAAUUCACGUCCUACAUAUAAAACUACCACUUUUUGUUAAGGUGUUAUAAAAUGGUAGAUACUUUUGAAACGUUGUUUGAUCCACUACUUUUGAUGCUGACUGUACAUGUAUAAAAUUGAAGAUUUGUUUCUUAAAAUAGAAUGUUCUAUCAAUUUACAAAAUAUUGUAUUUUAUUUAUGUCCACUAGAAAAUCGCUAAGUUUUGUAGUGUUAUAAGUUUGUUUAACAAAUUAUUGUUUUUUAAUUUAUUACAAAAAAUAUAAUAAUAUUAUUAAUUCUUUUGACAAAAACAAUCUGUUUUAAAACUGUGGCAGCAUUUUCUGCUUAUAUUGACCAGUUGGUCGUCUGUGUGGUAUUUCUUAUUCCCGUCGAUACCUCUUAGAAAUUAGAUUAUAAAUAUAAGUUCACAAAUUUUGCUAAAUAUAUUUUUAUUUCCAGCAACGUUCAUUACGUCACGACGCGGGAAAACACUCAUAAAACUAAACGGCUACGCGUACUGCAAACAUAAGCUCACAGCUGGCGGGUCCAAACUGCGAUGGAAAUGCUCAACUGGCACUGGCUGCAGUGCGUAUCUCACUACGGCUGACAGCAAGAUUGUGACCAGAAAAGAAAACCAUAAUCAUCCACCGCGAUUUGCAAAAGAUUCUGAUGAUUAACAUUUCAUACCAAUCUUGAGAACCUAGUUUUGCUGCUGUUUGUUUUCGAUGACGAAAAGAUAACCUUUUUUUGCCCGGCGCCUAUCAAUUCCGAGACUUCAAUUUUUUCUAUUUUUCUACAUAAUUAUUGAGUCAGUUAAUUCAAUAAUCUUAUUUUUCCACGCAAUUUCCGUACUGGAUCUCAACUUACAAUAAGAACCCGAGUAAUUAACGUUAAUUACUCUGACAAAUAUGUUUCUGAGAAACAUUAAUAAUACAAAACAUUAUUUA